rnacentral:rRNA from 1 species
CAAUAGCGUAUAUUAAAGUUGUUGCGGUUAAAAAGCUCGUAGUUGGAUUUCUGCUGAGAACGACCGGUCCGCCCUCUGGGUGUGUAUCUGGCUCUUUCUUGGCAUCUUCUUGGUGAACGUUGCUGCACUUGACUGUGUGGAGCGCUACCCAGGACUUUUACUUUGAGGAAAUUAGAGUGUUUCAAGCAGGCAUACGCCUUGAAUACAUUAGCAUGGAAUAAUAAGAUAGGACCUCGGUUCUAUUUUGUUGGUUUGCAGACCGAAGUAAUGAUUAAUAGGGAUAGUUGGGGGUAUUUAUAUUCCGAUGUCAGAGGUGAAAUUCUUAGAUUUUCGGAAGAUAAACUUAUGCGAAAGCAUUUACCAAGGAUGUUUUCAUUAA